GCUUUUUCCGAAUCCUGCCAAGGACAUGGUCUGCCUGUUGGUAAGAAUAAUUUUAAUUUAUUAGGUUGAAUGGA